rnacentral:rRNA from 1 species
ACGGGAGGCAGCAGUGAGGAAUAUUGGUCAAUGGGCGUAAGCCUGAACCAGCCAAGUAGCGUGGAGGAUGACGGCCCUACGGGUUGUAAACUCCUUUUGCCGGGGGAUAAAAAACGGGACGCGUCCCGUCUUGCAGGUACCCGUGCGAAUAAGGACCGGCUAAUUCCGUGCCAGCAGCCGCGGUAAUACGGAAGGUCCGAGCGUUAUCCGGAUUUAUUGGGUUUAAAGGGAGCGUAGGUGGAAUGGUAAGUCAGCCGUCAAAUCGCGCAGCUUAACUGCGCCCAGCGGUUGAAACUGCCGUUCUUGAGUGCACAAGAGGAAGGUGGAAUUCGUGGUGUAGCGGUGAAAUGCUUAGAUAUCACGAAGAACUCCGAUUGCGAAGGCAGCCUUCUGGGGUGCAACUGACACUGAGGCUCGAAGGUGCGGGUAUCAAACAGGAUUAGAUACCCUGGUA